AUGGCGUCUUGCCUGGUCCCUGACUUCCCGGCAGUCAUGGUUGCUCUCGAGCACAUAAAGGAGCUGGACAAGCAGCUCAAAGAGGACGGAAUACCCUUCUCACCUGAAGCCAGCCUCCAUCUGACAGAGAUAACUGCUGCCAUCACUGAACUGGAAGCGGACCGGCAUGCCACUCAUGAACAUUUAGAAGUGGAAACCAUAGAAAACAGCAAGCUGAGACACCAAAUUAACAGCAUAAGAGAAAGAAUGAGCCAAGAAAUCAUGGCUGACGUAGCAGCAGCCCGGGCAUCUAAUGCCGAGGAGAUAGAGCAGCUGCACAAAGACCUCCGCACAGUUUGUCAGCUACAAGAAGACACUGUGAAGAGGCAGGAAGCCCUCCUGAGGGAAAACGAGGCCUUGUACCCAGAGCGAGAACGUGUGAGGGCUGAGCAUGUGGAGAUCGUUGCUACUCUGAAUGAUCAAAUCACCUUUAAGUAUGGCUUGCAGAUGCAGCUGGAUUGGACACAGGAGCAAAUAGAGGAGCUGAGGUCCUGCGUCGCUGCGGUCCAACAGGACAAAGCAACACUGCAGCAAAACAUGGUGUUGGAGAGAGAAGCAUUCGCUGUGAAACAGGGCAACCUGGACAGAGAGGUAGACCAGGUCGAGGGAAAAAUCAAGCAGCAGAAGCAAGUGAUCAGGCGGGACAGAGGAGAGUUGGACAGGGUCGACGACAAGAAACGAGAAACCAAUGACCACCUGGGCAAGCUCACGAUUGAUUUAGCCAAGCUUGAGAGCAAUUUACGAAGACUGACAGCAUCUCGGUGCCAGUGCGAGAAACAGCUGGAGGGGGAGACCCAAAAGCAUCAAGAAUUGAGGCAGCAGAGAGAAACGCUGAAGAAAGAGCUGUGUGACUUAGUGGAAGCCUUCAGCGUUGCCAUCCAGCAUCUUAAAGAGGACAUUAUCACAGUGGAGGGUAAAAUAGAGGAUGGCCGAAGAUCAAGAUUGCACUGUCAAGACUCCCUGGCUCAAAUCUAUGAGAUAUUCAAGCACCAGCUAAAUGAAGAGGACGAAGUCAGGGCAGAGCAUUUCCACGUCUCGCAACAGCUGGAGCGGUCCAAGCUGCAGCUGGAGGAGCGCAUUGCCUCCAUAGUUAAACACAGCAAGGAGAUCAAAGAGAUGGACAAGCAGAUCGGAGAAAUCCUGGAGGUCGACACAAUCAACCAGCGCGUGUUCGAGAGGAAUCAGGAAGAGAUGUGCGGUAACGUGGAUACGGAGAAGAAGAACAUCAGCCAUUUUGAGGAGGAGAAGAGGCGGCUGAGGAGGCUCUUGGAUGAGACGAAGAGGAAGCAGGAGGAGCACGUGGCGAAAAUGACCUCCGAUAUUGCCAGCACCAGGCGGAGAUACCAGGAACUGCGGCAAGAGGAGACCGCACUCCAGCAGCGGCACCCCCAGAGCACAGACGCCGACUUGCUGAUGAGCCACGUGAGGCAGUGUGAGGUAGAGUACGGGCAAAUAGAGAGCAAACAGAGUCAGGAAAUCGAGCAGUGCACCGCAGAGGCCGAGAGCAUCGCGAGGGGCAACGAGGAGAAGCAGAGGGAGGUGGAGGAGAAGGAGGAGAUGCUGAAGGAGGUGGAAGCAAAGUGGAGCGAAGAGGAGUCCAGGCACCAGAGGCUGAAGAUGCUGACCUACGAGCAGAGGAGGAAGAGGCGCGAUCUGGAACUGUCGAUCCAGCAGCUGAAGGAGAAAACCGUCUCUCUGCUUCAGCCCAAAGAGGAGAUGAAGGCUGAGCUGGAGGAGAUGCGAGGGAGUUACAUGGACAUGCUCGACACGCAGGCCUCAGAGCUGAAAGCUGUGGAGUUGAGCAUCUAUGACAGUAGCGUGAAACUGGAGGAGGUCAGCAUGGAGAACAGCAGGCUGCAUCUCUGUAUCAGACAGAUGACGGAGGCUGCCAGCAGAGCCCGGGUGAACAAAGACAGAUACCAGCAGGAGACUCACCAGUUUAAGCAGGACAUGAAGGACUUGUCUGAAAACGUACAGGAAGCAUGGAGAGAGGAUUUAUUGCUAACCCAGGACUGUCAGAGCAGCGAUGGUGUUCUGUUGGAGGCCAUGAGUGGCAUGUUGAGCCAUCUGAAAACCAGGAGACAGCAGUUAGGGCAUGUCGGCACACUCCUACACCAACAAAUGUUGGACUUCAGCAAGCGACUGGGAGAUCAAACAACCAUACAACAGCAGAGUUUAGUUGAUGAGUGCCUCUAA
rnacentral:lncRNA from 15 species